UUCCUUUUUUCCUCUCAGUGUGUGAAAAGAUAAACAGAACUUCAGUAAAACCUGACACCAACACAUUCACACAUUCUCCUUUGAGGCCGAUUGCUGACAGGACACACUGCAGUCUGUUCAGAGCAAAACACACACGUUUGGUUUUGAAGUUUGAAAGCUGCUGACUGGAUCAACAGUGAGGAGACAUGGAAACUGUAGUUGGACUGUUGUUGAUGAUGUUUGGAGUGUCUCAUGGUGUGGAAAGUUACUGUGACGGCAGACCAGAUGGAGCUCAUUGUUAUGGAACUUUGGGAGGAACUUUGGACAUCAAACUGACGGACAACACCUCAGAAAUAUUCAAAUUCCUACUGUCCAAGAAUACAUCAGUAAUAAAAUACAGGAGAAGCAACAGUCUUAAAUAUAGUACGACAGAUGAAAGAUUUCUGUUUUAUCCCAGUAAUGGAACACUUAGGAUACAUAACCUGAGCAGUACAGACAGCGGAAAAUAUAACUUUUUGACCUUUAAUUCAGAUGGAAAAAUAUCAGCUGAGCGGACUUUACAGAUUUUUAUUCAAGGUAAUUUUUCCCUGCAUUACUAGAUGUUAACAUUGUUCUGGUAAUCCAUAUAUAUGCAUAUAUACAGUGUGUAAAAAGAAGUAUUGAACACAUCACCAAAUUUCUAAGUAAAUGUAAUUUUAAAGGUGUUAUUGACAUGAAAUUCUCACCAGAUGUCAGUAACAACCUAUCCAACCAAACACAUGAAAAGAAAAAUAGAUAAAUCGCCCUCAUCACCCUAAAGUGAAUUCAAGCGCUACAAAUUAUUUCACAAGUUCUAAGUUCAAAAGCCUCUUAUUAACAAACUCUGACAGAAAGAAAGUUCUGUGAAUCUGAGUGUCUUCUCUGUUUCCUGUACAGAAUCUCCUCUGCAACACACACUCUCACAGGGCUCUGCUGAACCGUUAUAUAGACAGCAUGAGGCACAUUAGAAAUAUCUGUGAAUAUAACAGGGAAAAGGACUUGCAGAUCAGCGAGGAGCUCACUAUCACAGUUAAACAACACUUAGGAAAAGAUUAGAGGUCAGAUCCCAGCUGAAAUAGGGUCAGGUCAUUGCCAGAUGCUUCACACACAUGCUUGACUGUUUCAGGUGCAUCCAGGAGGGGAUGGGGAUCCUGGCAGAUCCCUCCCCUGUAAGGUAAGGUGGGAUGAGAGAAUACACACACAGCCACCAGCACACAAAAAGGAUACAGAGGAGGACUGUGACAUUUGUCUUGUAAAAUAUGGUGCAAGAGUGAAAACUCUCAAGUGUGUUUUAUUUCACAGCUCUAACUUUUCAGAAAUAUGUGUGUGUCUCUACACAGGUACUUCCUGGUUCAUACAUGGUUUGAAAGCAGUGGUAAUUGCGGUGGUAAUUAUAUCAUUAAGUGGGAUUUGGAUCUACUUCACUUG